AUGAUUUUUUUGAGCUGAGUAAUCUGUGGCUUUGCAGUUUCCUUGCUUUCUUUCCUUAGCUAAAUCUCUUCUAGUGUUAGCAAAGUAUUUAGCACAGGAAAGAUCUUAUAAAAUGAAAUAAUGCAUGUAAUGAUGCAUUUUCCAAGUAGAUGAUUUUAACAAACCGUAAGCUUUUAUGCCUGUCCUUCAUUGUGUCUUUUCUGCCUCUGUCAGGCGAACUGUGAUGAAGAGCCUUAUACUUAGGAAGACACAACUACCUUUGAACAGUCCUUUGUGAAAUCUAAUGAUCGCAACGAACGAAAUAAACCAGAACAUCGUUCUUCAAGCCAAGGACCCUUGUCAUCCAUUAGAGCGGUAAUCAAGAGAUCACUCAUGAAUAGUACACAGCAAAAAUGCCCCGUGGAAGAGCUUCUCGGACUUCUAUUCAGAGUGAACUUCAUCGAGAUAGAAGGCGCCCAGAGAUCACCAUUGUGGCAGCUGAGCCACUGAGGCCAGCCUCGUGGUUUCCAGGAACCCCACCCCCAGGACUGGGAUUUCCUACAUCAUCUGCAGCAGGCUCUUGGAGGCCUAAUGAGCUGGUUCCUGCUGAGCUCCCACCAUCUUAUGAACAAGUUAUAAAAGAAAUCAACCAAGUUCAAGUUAAUACUACAAAUAAUAAU
rnacentral:lncRNA from 1 species